rnacentral:lncRNA from 1 species
CUCAGAGGAGGCUGACUAAAGUUUGGUCAAAGGAGAGAGUCUUUGUUAAUAUUUAGCUGAGGAGAUUUUCAAGCAGAGUGUUGAAGGUGAUGCCUGGUUUCUUCUUGCUGCUUAUGAGUCAAAUAUGAGAGAAGAGAGAGAAAUUGAAGGAAGACCUGUUAAGCAAAAAGGAAUCAGGGCUUGAUGAUUUGGUAAACUAUCAUCCUACCCAGACUGCAAAAGACGCUAAAAUUAAGAGAUUCACCAUCAGGAAAGCAUCCUCUGAAAGAAGGACAACCUCUUGGCAGUGCAUCAGAAGGAUCAAAAGAAUGUUAAGGCUAUUUUUCAGGGGCAGUGUAACAGCCAGGAGCACGCACAGAGGAGAAAAUUUUGAUCUGCCAAUCGAAACUCAUCCUGCCAGUGCUUCUGCAUACCAGCCUGACCUCCCUGAUCUCUUAACCCUUACCUUAUAGCCUGAAUCGGGGAGAUAGAGUUGAGAGCCUUUCCUUCUGUCUCCUUACCAAUUGAUUGCAUAAUAAAUUGCUGCUUCUCUCAAAGACCCAUGUACCAUGCACGGUAUUGGCUUCUGUGCACAUGGGGUGGAGAACCCUUGCUCUAGUAAGACAGAGGGCUCUUUGAAGAGAUUAGGCAUUUGACUCAUGGACGUCCUCAGGUAUCUAAGCAUAAACCAGGAAUAUAUAUGGGAUUAUCCAACAAAGACUUGAACAGGAACUUCUUAUCCAACAGAGAGAAUCCCUAAAACAUACAUGGGAGACUCACAAAGUUCUUGGCAGAAACACUGAACUGAACUGAACUGAAAUGGACAAAGAUGGAACAGAAUGAAGGCAGGCUGCCAAUGCUGUGAGACUUGCAAAAUUCUAAAAGCAGAAAACAGGCUGAUAAAACUACUUCUUUGGAAAUACCUGCUACAUUUCAAGAAAAAAGGAUGACUCCAGGUGUGAAGCCAAGAGCCCAGAGGGCAAAACUGCAAGCACAGAGGACAGAGUUAGGAAUUCAGAGAGUGAAUCAGGGAGCACAGAUAAUUUAUUCCCAGGCCCUGAAACCUAAUAGAGUUUGUCCAGUUGGAUUUCUAAAUUGCUUGUGACCAGUAACUCCUUUUUUUCUUCCAUUUUCUCCAAUUUGGAAUGGGAAUGUCAAUAACUGGUAUCCUAUACUUGUUCCACCAUUAUAUUUUGGGAGUAGAUAAUUUGUUUUUUAGUUUUACAGGUCCACAGAUCGGCAGGAAUUUUGCCCCAGGAUAGACUACACAAAUUUGAAAGAAGUCAUACAGAGUAUAUUCUUGGAGUAUGUCAGCGUAAAAUAAACAAUAAUUUUUUUAUUUUUUUAUUUUUGUUUUUUGCUGAGGAAGAUUUUCCCUGAGCUAAUAUCCAUUGCCAAUCUUCAUCUUUUUGCUUGAGGAAGAUUCUCCCUGAGUUAACAUCUGUGUCAGUCUUUCUCUAUUUCGUAUGUGG